rnacentral:rRNA from 1 species
UACAGAGGGUGCGAACGUUGCUCGGAAUUACUGGGCGUAAAGCGCGUGUAGGCGGGUCGGCAAGUCAGAUGUGAAAUCCCUGGGCUCAACCUAGGAAUUGCAUCUGAAACUGCCGGUCUUGAGUGUCGGAGAGGGUAGCGGAAUUCCUGGUGUAGAGGUGAAAUUCGUAGAUAUCAGGAGGAACACCGGUGGCGAAGGCGGCUACCUGGACGACUACUGACGCUGAGACGCGAAAGCGUGGGGAGCAAACAGG